AAAGAUUUUAAAUUAGUCCAGAGAGGCUAGUAAGUCGGUAUAUCGAAUUGUAAAUAAAUGAACUUUAUUUACUAUAAGUGUAGCCGCUAGGUCUCUCAGACUUAGCGGCUUUUUUUG
rfam:Lactobacillus ozensis DSM 23829 = JCM 17196 strain DSM 23829 NODE_6, whole genome shotgun sequence.